rnacentral:rRNA from 1 species
GACGAACGCUGGCGGCGUGCUUAACACAUGCAAGUCGAACGGAAAGGCCCUGCUUUUGUGGGGUGCUCGAGUGGCGAACGGGUGAGUAACACGUGAGUAACCUGCCCUUGACUUUGGGAUAACUUCAGGAAACUGGGGCUAAUACCGGAUAGGAGCUCCUGCUGCAUGGUGGGGGUUGGAAAGUUUCGGCGGUUGGGGAUGGACUCGCGGCUUAUCAGCUUGUGGGUGGGGUAGUGGCUUACCAAGGGUUUGACGGGUAGCCGGCCUGGGAGGGUGCCCGGCCACGUGGGGUCGGGGCUGGGCCCCGGACUCUGGCGGUGGGCAGCGGGGGGAAAUAUUCCAAAAGGGGGGGGCCCCGGAUGCAGCGACCCCGGUUGGGGGAGGCCGCCCUUCGGUUUGCACCCCGUUUGCUCGUGGGCCAAGGGGUGAGGGAGGUCAUGGGAAAAAAAACCCCCGGUAAACGCGGGC